rnacentral:lncRNA from 1 species
AGUGCCAAGCAUUGGAUGGGAUGCAAGAGGAAGCAGGAGGCAGAGGCAGAGGAAGCGAGGCCUGCUGAGGGGCCUCCCGUCUUUCUGAAACUCCAGCUUCAGCUCCCACUAACCGGGUGGCUGUGAGCUACAGGACUGCAGCUGCUGAAAGAGGUCAGAAGUAUCGGAUUCCCUGGAGCUAGAGUUACAGGUCCAAUUCUGGCAUUGUUGGCUCAAUCGAUACGUGUUUAUUGAACACCCUUGACGGCAGCCCUGGGGUCUCCGGGGGUGCUGGAGACACUGAACAGCAAGAGCACCCUCGGUUCCUGGAAAUCAUAAUUGCUCGUUCUUCUUAUCAGAGGCAGGGCCCCAGUGACCUUCCUCGCUACCCCCCCCCAAGGCAAUGAUGGAGCUACGUAGUGAAAAGCAGAGAGAUGUAUUCGCUUCGCUGUGGCCACAGUGAGAAGGGUGACAAGUAAUGAGGUCCAGGGACCCCCCCCCCCAAUCCAUCUUCAGACUGAGGUUGAGGUUUGAGAGAGAUGCACAGCCAGGUUGUCCCACCGUGUGCUGUGCCGUGUGUCACUGACCCAGACCAGUCUGGGCUCCAGUCUGUCCUGUGUAGAAUUUUUCCCUGACAGACAAGUACCCUCUCUGGCUGUCAGCAGGCUUCAGCUUUUUUUCUUCUCUGAGCAUGAGACUCCUGUCGGAGGGGAUUCCGAUUCCUGGGGGAACCUUUAUCUCAACAGUCUGAUAGCCAAAGGGAUGGGCUCUGUAGAGUCCCUAGAGAGUAUAGGCCAGGAUGGUUUUGUUCUUGCUCCAAGCACAGACCACGCCUGUGAACUCGUUUACUAUUACAGAUGGGGAAACUGAGGCAUGGAGACACCUCUAAGCAACUAAUUAAAGUACAGAGUUGAGAAGGCCAUGAGGAGGGUCCCUCAGAGGUAGUAACUCAUUCAUUCAUUCAUUCAUUCAUUCAAGCUUCAGUCAGCUGUAGUGGAGCAUGCCUAGAGUCCCAGCUGCUCUAGAAAGAUGGAGCAGGAGAACUGUUGGAGCCCAAGAGUUUCAAGUUGGCUUAGGCAACAGAGCAAGACCUGGUCUCUAAAAUAAACAAACUUAAGCAAA